rnacentral:lncRNA from 1 species
ACAAGUUUUAUACUUUAUUGUUUUCAAAACAUAUUCUAGAAAUCAUUAUAAAAAAAAUUAUUCUAGAAAUAAAUUGACCAAGCAAUUGUUUUUCAUUUUUUCGUUUUUAAAACUUGUUUUUAGAAAUAGACUUACCAAACUGAGUUUUAUUACUUUGGUAAAAUCCACAGAUUAUGGCAUUUAUGGGUGUGUAUUGGGAAGGUAGGAAAUAGUAAUCAAUUGGCUUAAUGAACAGCUGACUAGUUUCCAAAGGCAAUUAAUGUAGCUGUAAAGGCAAAAUAAAAAACGUAGUAUUUUUUACGGUUUCCCAAAAGUUGGGCCGGGUUUUUCAGAAACGGGUCACGAAUCUGACCCGGACACCCGAAAUCCUUGGUUGAUGAACAGACUCGCGCCGGAACGACGAUUCCACCGCUCCCUGCGUAUUUUCGCGGCGGAUCUGGCCGCGCCUACCAAAAAACGAUUUUGGUAAUUAUCUAGCAAGUCAAAGGGUGGCAAGAUCGUGAAUUGAUUUAUUAACAUGGCAUGAGCUUUUGUUGUUGCUGGAGUGGUAGAAUAAGAACCUUUGGUUUUGGCGGUUGCCUCUUCAGAAAAUAAAAAAGAUCUAAACAAACC